CAGUAGCCGCGGGAAUACGUAGGUGGCAAGCGUUGUCCGGAAUUAUUGGGCGUAAAGGGCUCGCAGGCGGUUUCUUAAGUCUGAUGUGAAAGCCCCCGGCUCAACCGGGGAGGGUCAUUGGAACCUGGGAAACUUGAGUGCAGAAGAGGAGAGUGGAAUUCCACGUGUAGCGGUGAAAUGCGUAGAGAUGUGGAGGAACACCAGUGGCGAAGGCGACUCUCUGGUCUGUAACUGACGCUGAGGAGCGAAAGCGUGGGGAGCGAACAGGAUUAGAUACCCCGGUAGUCCCUGUCUCUUAUAC
rnacentral:rRNA from 1 species